rnacentral:rRNA from 1 species
AUUGAACGCUGGCGGCAGGCUUAACACAUGCAAGUCGAGCGGGGGAGGUUGCUUCGGUAACUGACCUAGCGGCGGACGGGUGAGUAAUGCUUAGGAAUCUGCCUAUUAGUGGGGGACAACAUUCCGAAAGGGAUGCUAAUACCGCAUACGCCCUACGGGGGAAAGCAGGGGAUCUUCGGACCUUGCGCUAAUAGAUGAGCCUAAGUCGGAUUAGCUAGUUGGUGGGGUAAGGCCUACCAAGGCGACGAUCUGUAGCGGGUCUGAGAGGAUGAUCCGCCACACUGGGACUGAGACACGGCCCAGACUCCUACGGGAGGCAGCAGUGGGGAAUAUUGGACAAUGGGGGGAACCCUGAUCCAGCCAUGCCGCGUGUGUGAAGAAGGCCUUUUGGUUGUAAAGCACUUUAAGCGAGGAGGAGGCUACCGAGAUUAAUACUCUUGGAUAGUGGACGUUACUCGCAGAAUAAGCACCGGCUAACUCUGUGCCAGCCGCCGCAGUAAAAC